rnacentral:tRNA from 2 species
GGCGACUUAGCUCAGUUGGUAGAGCACACGGCUCAUAUCCGUGAUGUCAAUGGUUCAAUCCCAUUAGUCGCUA